rnacentral:rRNA from 1 species
UACGGAGGGUGCAAGCGUUAUCCGGAUUCACUGGGUUUAAAGGGUGCGUAGGAGGACAGGUAAGUCAGUGGUGAAAUCUCCGAGCUUAACUUGGAAACUGCCGUUGAUACUAUCUGCCUUGAAUAUUGUGGAGGUGAGCGGAAUAUGUCAUGUAGCGGUGAAAUGCUUAGAUAUGACAUAGAACACCAAUUGCGAAGGCAGCUCGCUACACUAUUAUUGACGCUGAGGCACGAAAGCGUGGGGAUCAAACAGG